AUUAACUGUGGCUGCUUUGCUUCUGGAAUCCUAGCAUAUUUUUCUAAGCAGUAAGCAAGAUCUUUUGAUACAAAUAUUUAAACAUUUGAAGAUGCCAGUUUGGUGUAUACUCUAGCACUUCCAAACUGCAUUGCAAGUUAUCAAAGACGCAAGAUAUAACAAAAGAGUAGAAUUUUUUUUGGCUCAUCAUAACAACUUGAAAACAAAAACUGACAACUUUUGUACCAUUAACAGAAUGUAGUAGAGCUGAAGGAAAUUGGCUCCUCCGAAAACCAGAGGGAGGAGUGAACCCUGACACAGAGAAGGCACAAUGGAGUCAACUGCCCUGGUCACAGCUGAAGACCAUUCUGCACCCUGGGCUUCGACACUCAUGCCAACCAGCUCAUCCGGAAACCCACUCAAUGCAUCUUGGAAACCAGUUGGAUCCAGUAGCCUCUGUGGGUGGACCAUUCUAAUUGGGCCUUUCUCCCCACGAGUACAAUGAAAGUUGAGAAGAUUUAUGAAAGCAAAAACAGAAUACUAAUUUGGCAAAAUCAAUAAUACAAAAUACAUCAUGCGAAAAGCUGGACUGGAUGAAUCCCA